GAGCACGUGGCGGUUGUUGUGGUGCCUCCCGCAGCGGAGCGGGAGAAUGAGUGGCCAAUGAGGAACUUGUCGCUUCGCGGCAAACUAAGGGAGGACCAAUAGUGAGGACCCACGGGGGCCUCCAUGGGGGCGGGGGUAAGAUUACUCCUUAGUCGGUAACCAGGAAUCUAGGCUUCUUGAGACUGAAGGGGCGGGGCCGCGCGAGGCGGAGUGAUGCGAAACCCGGAAUUUGGCCGCCCUGCGCGGUAGGCCCACCUGGGCUGGCCCGCGAUGUGGGCGGUCUUUCUUCCCUCAGAGAACCAGAGCAGCAAAGGAGGUGCAUGGCAGCUUGUCCAAAACUCCUGCACGUCCAGGCCCGGCUGAACCUGCCCGCUCCAUGAGAAGCCACACGAGGGCCUCUGGCAGAGGGUCCGGGUUGGGGACUUGCAACUGCAGUAGGACAAGGGUGCCAAGGCAGGCUGGCGCAAGUUGGCGAGAAAGAGAGGGCCUUGUUAUUUUGGUGGAAAAGAGACACUCCAUUUAUUCAUUUUAAUGAAUAAAGUCAAUCAUUUAUUGAACACCAGCUGCCAGGCAUUGUUCUGGAUGCUGGAAAAAGUGGCCAACAGAAGAUGCUCUCCCUCCUGGUGUAGCCAAGAAGACAGGCACCCAAGAGCUUAUGCUAAAUAAGAGCCAGUGUUUGCUGGGCAGGGUGCUGAUGGAAAUAACAGCCAAGUGGAGGCUGGAGCGUUGGAUAGUGGGCCCCAUGCUACAUGAAGUGAUCUGGAAAACUCUGUGAAGAGGUGAUGCUUGUCACUAUAAGAAGAUCCUUGGGGAGUUCCUGUUCUGAGGCAGCGGAAAUGAAUCCGACUAGGAACCAUGAAAUUGCAGGCAGCAUGUGCCUGUGGAAACAAAGGGGAAGAAGCAGAAAUAAGAUGAGAAACAAGACGACUGCUGGAGGUGGACCUGGUGCCCCCCCCAUCUCCUGGCUCAUGGACCCCACAACUGCGGUGGGUGGGCCUCACUGCAGCUUCAGCCACCCCAUCCCCAGCAGCUGUGUCCCCGGUGGCCCUUCCUGUCUAGGUCAUAGGGUAUUUUUAGCACUGAAUCCGGAACUCACUUGGCAGCAGCUGCUCAUGGCCAGAGCACAAGAACAACAAACUGUCCAGGUGGGCCGUGCGGACCUGCCCUGCAGCAGGAGCGACCUGGGCCUGGCUCUCUGAGUCUUGUAACAGAAUCCACUUUCCAGGGCUUUUCAGCAAUCUGGGCAGGAUGGGGAGGGAGGAGGUAGGCAGCAUAGAGGAUAGGUAGGCAUUACCUGGGCCCGACAGGAAAACAGCUGGUGCAAAGGUCCUGAGGCGUCACAGGGCUGAGGGUGGGGGCAGAGGCAGGAAGAGGAGCUGCAUGUAAUGAGAGGAGGCUGAGCGGGGCCUACAGGUUGUGGUCUCCGUCCCAAGGGCAGUGGGCAACCGCAGGAGUUGUCAGCAUGAUGGGGAGUGAGCCUCAGAAGGCGGCUCUUUGGAGGAAGAAGGGGCCAAGAGAAAAGGCAGCAAUCAGAGGGGAGGAUGGCCACGGCCUGCAGUAGCAGGCACCUGACGGAGAGGGAGUGGAUGGGUCAAGGAAACAGAAGGCACUGACCUCAGUGAGAGCCUAAGGAGGCUGAGCUAUUGGGGAGGGCCAGGUUUGAGAAGGAAGCCCCCUGAUGGUUUGGGACAGGCCUAGUUAGGGGGCUGGGGGACAGGACCCCCCAGGGAAGUCUUCCAAGUCCCUUGCCUUGGCCCUUCUUCAGCUGUGGUUUGGACACAAAAGCUCUCUGCCGCCUCUGUGCUCCUUUGAUGUCUCGACUCUGCCCCCUGGAUGCUCCCCUGCUGAGCCACUGGAGCGUGGGGCUCCCCACCUUACCCUCAGUAGCUGGAUAAGGUGGUCUUUCCCCAGCCCCCACUGCCAGGCCAGCCUGACCCUCAAUGCCCAGCUGUCAUGACCGUCAGCAAUCACCUCUCAGUCCCACUUCCUACUGUGGCCACCUCGGGGCGUCAGAGCUGCCUCCCAGAGCCCCAGAGCAGCUGGCAGAUGGCCCCCUCCUCCACCCCAGUUAUUUUCAGGAUCAGUGUGGCUGUGGGGCUGUGUUUUGGAAGAAGAUCAUGUGCUUGGCUGAGUCAGCCAAAUGGCAGGGCCGGGGCUUCGUGUUCAGGUGACAGGAGCUUGGCUAUGCAGUGAAAGGACUGCAGCCCCACAUGGGUCUCUGUCUGGGCACUGGGGAUGCUCAAAGGAGCCAGUCCCUGUGACCCCUGGGUGCCCUGUGCAGCCUGAGGCCACUGGGUCUUCCUAUUUGUUGCCUGCUAGCCAGAUCAUCAGGCAGUUGUGGUCUGUCACCUGGCAGGGACCUGGAAGGACAGGGGCCACCACUCCGGGAGCCCGCUCCCAGGACCAGUGACUCAGCACUCAGAGCAGACAGAUGGAGAGGCUUGGAGAGGCCCGGGGCUCACCCACCUCCCACCUGGCUGGCACCACCCACACCCCUGCCAAGCAGCCCAGGCCCUGCGCACACUGGGACAAGAACCCUGUGGCCUGUCCUCCCCACAAAGACACCCCCACAAGCCCUUUCUCUGCAUUUUGCUCAACUUCCCUCAGCCUGUAUGAGGUGUUGGGGCCUCUUUAAGAAGCAAAUGCAAAAUUACAAAUCCAGGAUUAGGUACAAAAGUGAAUAUUUGCUUAGAAUGAGGAAGCAAACAAAUAAGCGACAAGUAAAAGCUAAUAAAUAACACACAUUUCAAAUCCAGAAAAAAUCCCCUCCUUGGUCAGAGGCUUGAGACUUGAUGGCCCGAGGUGCCCACGUUGGGCAGGGAUUGGUAAAAAAGAAGCAGGGUGGGAGUUCCUGUCGUGGUGCAGUGAUUAAUGAAUCUGACUAGGAACCAUGAGGUUGCGGGUUCCAUCCCUGGCCUUGCUCAGUGGGUUAAGGAUCCAGCGUUGCCAUGAGCUGUGGUGUAGAUCACAGAUGCGGCUCACAUCCCGCAUUGCUGUGGCUCUGGCGUAG
rnacentral:lncRNA from 1 species